UUUUUUUUUCUCCUCAGAUGUGGUGUGCUGUAUGAUGUGGCAUUGGGUCAGGCUGUAUCUGUUUCCUGUGGUGACAUAAAGGGACGAUAUGUGAAUGUCUUUUUACCUGGAAGUUCAAGAGUUCUCACUAUGUGUGAUGUAAAGGUGUUUGCAGUUAAAGUCAUAAAAGGUUUUAUAAGGAUCAAAUUUAACUCCAGUCUAGAUAUGUCAGAUCCAGCAGAGAGGAACAACGUUCUUAAUGAGCUGAAGACCGCUUUGACUUCUAAAGGAUUCUCUGUUUUCACAUUGAACUGGUCAAAACUCCCUCAGAAGAUCAAACCGGAGACUUAGCUGGGUGGUCCAUGUGUUAAGGGCAGUUACUAAAUGAACAGACUGUCUUUGGAGAAGGAAAUGCAACUCAAAAACAUGUAUUUGUUGUGAUAGAUCUGAGAAAAACACAUGUAUUUCACAUUUAUUUCAUUUUUUAUUAAUUUAAUAAUAUAUAUUUAUUUACUUGCAAACUCUUACUAAUUUGUAUUAUAUAUUCGUUCAUUUAUUUUAUCAUUUAAUCAUUUACUUUUACUCUUAUUUUAAUUAUUCUUUACUACAUAUAUUUAAGUUUAUAUUAUAUUUAGUUUAUUCUGUUCUUCAUUACUUUCUUAAUGUUGUUUAAUCUACUGGUGAUGCUGUAUAGUCUCCAGUGGUCUUUAUCUCAAGGCUCAUAAUAACAUCAUGAGACAAAGUUUUAUAACAACUACCUUGCAUGCUAUAAUAAUAUCUAUUGAAUCUGUUUCUAGUCAGAUGAGGUCAGUCAGACAAUCGAAGCAGCUAAACUGAGCACUGAAACGGAGAUUAUUUAAUAAAUUAUUUUUUAUUUUAUUUAACAACACUUCAUCUCCUGCCUGCUGUCUUUCCCUUCAUCUCCGUAUCUGCCAUCUCGUGGUUGAUAUUUAUGUAAAGAUUUAGUGAUUUUGUUAUGGAGAGAGAGAAAUCUAGUGAAACUGUACUUUAAUUAAAUCUAUAAGAUCUGCAAGUCAUAGAUCCAUAGUUGGAUCUA